GGAGUACUCCCUCCAUCCAACAAAAGAUGUCUCAAGUUUGUCAAAAUUUGGAUGUAUCUAGACAUGACUUAGUGUAUAGAUGCAUUCAAAUUUAGUCAAAGUUGAGACAUCCUUUGUUGGACGGAGGGAGUAUUAU
rnacentral:pre_miRNA from 1 species